GACUCAGACAAUGUGUUGUUACCUGACCGAGAUGAGGUCUUCGACUAAUUAAGCAUGUUCUAGCACCUCUGCACACAAGUUAGGUCUCAGCAUCGCAACCCGAUCAUAAAUAUCGACACGAAGGCCUUUCAGAAACUUUCUACCUUUACGAAUUUCAAAGGUGACCAUAAGAGGAGCAAACCUAGACAGUUGGACAAAUCAGGCUACAUAUUGAUCAACGUCAGAUUUCUUGAUAGAGGUCCCGAAAUUCCUCCUCCUUCUUCUCUCGGACAUAGGUUG
rnacentral:lncRNA from 1 species